AGGAGUAUAGUUCAGUGGUAGAAUAAAGGUCUCCAAAACCUCUGAUGUGAGUUCGAUUCUUACUACUCCUGCCA
rnacentral:tRNA from 1 species